AGCUCUGUGCAGUGGCAGUAUCGUAGCCAAUGAGGUUUAUCCGAGGCACGAUUAUUGCUAAUUGAAAGCAUAUGAACUAUAAUGUCUGUAGAAAAGGGAGGAUAACUUUUUUUAAUAUAUCCUUCUGAUAUUAAAUAUUAG